GCCCAGUGAUGAGACCAAGGUGAAUGCGAGCCAACUGAAAGAGGGUUGGGAUCUCUCUCUUCUCGUUUGGCCCGGUAAUCUUGGCGGUGUAGUGGAGAUUGGCUGCUCUGCUGUAAGGGCCGGCCUACAGUGAUUUGGCCCCACCCACACGUUUCUUCCGCUAAAGAAACACGGUAGAGAAUAGUGGGAGGGUGCUGACAGUGUGACUGAUGUCUGUUUGCCUGUGUCUGCCUGCCUUUAUGCAUGAGGCAGGGAGAACCCCACCUCCUUAAUAUUCAGUUGGUCGUGAGCGCUCUUUGUUAAUCUGAGGGCU